AUUGAACGCUGGCGGCAUGCCUUACACAUGCAAGUCGAACGGUAACGCGGGGCAACCUGGCGACGAGUGGCGAACGGGUGAGUAAUGCAUCGGAACGUGCCCAGUAGUGGGGGAUAGCCCGGCGAAAGCCGGAUUAAUACCGCAUACGACCUACGGGUGAAAGGGGGGGAUCGCAAGACCUCUCGCUAUUGGAGCGGCCGAUGUCAGAUUAGGUAGUUGGUGGGGUAAAGGCCUACCAAGCCGACGAUCUGUAGCUGGUCUGAGAGGACGACCAGCCACACUGGGACUGAGACACGGCCCAGACUCCUACGGGAGGCAGCAGUGGGGAAUUUUGGACAAUGGGCGCAAGCCUGAUCCAGCCAUGCCGCGUGCGGGAAGAAGGCCUUCGGGUUGUAAACCGCUUUUGUCAGGGAAGAAACGCGCUGAGUUAAUACCUCGGUGUAACGACGGUACCUGAAGAAUAAGCACCGGCUAACUACGUGCCAGCCGCCGCGGUAA
rnacentral:rRNA from 1 species